rnacentral:misc_RNA from 1 species
AUUAUGGGAAACAUGAAGGCAAUUAGGCCAUUAGCUUCCUUGGUUAUUGUUCUACUAGUUGCAGGUGUGAUGAGCAUAUGGGAUGUGAAAACAGCAAGUGCAGCUCUGAGUGCUGCACAGUGCAAGGAAGAGAGGAGGCUUGGGCUUAAUGCUUGCAAACCAGUAGUAUAUGGCAGGCCUCCAUCGCCUCAGUGUUGUGAACGUAUAAGAGUUACCCACAUUGAAUGUGUGUGUCCUGAUGUCACCCCUAAAAUCGCUGCCCUUAUUGACAUGAACCGUGCCGUUCGAAUCAUUGAAGGCUGCGGCAGAAGGGUUCCUCGCCAUUACAAGUGUGGAAGUAUCACCACUCCAUGAAAACUGGGCUGGCUGCGCGAUCGAUGUGUUUGAUUUCUGGUUGCUUUCAAGCGUGAUGCCUUCUUCAACAAUUCACUCGAUCUCUGAGGUUGGAGAAGACUUAUGGGUAUUUAUAUUAGCACAGUACUAUAACUUGAAUAAGUAUAUGGGUCAUUUAAAUCCAUGGCAUUCCGCCAUGACUGAUAAUAGGUAUAGAUGUAAUAGAGGCCAAGAAUAACCAGAUUACUUUAUCUUGUUCAAUGCAUGUGGAAGCAUUGGUAUUUGUCUGUUUCCUUUUUUUCCCCUCCUUUGUC